GACCAGACUCCUACGGGAGGCAGCAGUGGGGGAUAUUGCACAAUGGGGGGAACCCUGAUGCAGCGACGCCGCGUGGGUGAAGAAGCGCCUCGGCGCGUAAAGCCCUGUCAGCAGGGAAGAAAAUGACGGUACCUGAAGAAGAAGCCCCGGCUAACUACGUGCCAGCAGCCGCGGUAAUACGUAGGGGGCAAGCGUUAUCCGGAUUUACUGGGUGUAAAGGGGGCGCAGACGGCGAUGCAAGCCAGGAGUGAAAGCCCGGGGCCCAACCCCGGGACUGCAUUGGAAACGGCCGGGCUGGAGUGCCGGAGGGGCAGGCGGAAUUCCUGGUGUAGCGGUGAAAUGCGCAGAUAUCAGGAAGAACACCGGUGGCGCAGGCGGCUUGCUGGACGGCAACUGACGCUGAGGCUCGAAAGCGUGGGGAGCAAACAGGAUUAGAUACCCUCGUAA
rnacentral:rRNA from 1 species